AUUGAAUUAAUUUUACAGUUAACCUUGGUAAUUUGAUAUCAAGUCUUAAAAUUGAUUUAAUUCAUAUAGUAACAUUUCCUCAGGCAAGAAGAGUAUUUAAAAUGCCAAAAUAAUUUUUCCAAGCCAAAACAAGUAUUUUUGUAAUAUAUCCAUAAAUAUAAAAGCAUCUUUGCCAUCUAAAUAGUGACAUUCGGCUCUUAAAGAGAAUUGUGCAACCAGAUUGCUAACAACUUUAUGCCAAUUUCUCUUCCGGCAAUGCUUCAAAGCAAAUUCUCUUCUUGCAACAUAUUUAAGACAAAAUCUCUUUUUGCAGUACCUUCAAAUCAAUUUCUCUUUUUGCAACCAAAAACAAUCUCUCUUUUUAUCAAAAUCUCUUUUGUGUAACAAAAUGAAUUUUGAUUUAUUUUAUUGCAGAAAUUCAGCCAAAUCAAGUCCAUUGGUUUUAGACUGAAAUUGAUCUCAUCCCUUGAUAAAUCAUUGGACCAAAAUUCCCUAGGCAUAACUUUUCCUAUAAAUAACAAGGCUUCUCUUCAUUCCUCUUCACCAAUUUACAAAAUCAAAAACUUUCAAGCUAAAAUUCUCUCCUUGCCUACAUUUUAGAAAAGCUUAAAAUUUAUCUUCUAC
rnacentral:lncRNA from 1 species